GAUGAACGCUGGCGGCGUGCCUAACACAUGCAAGUCGAGCGAACGGACGAGAAGCUUUCUUCUCUGAUGUUAGCGGCGGACGGGUGAGUAACACGUGGAUAACCUGCCUAUAAGACUGGGAUAACUUCGGGAAACCGGAGCUAAUACCGGAUAAUAUUUUGAACCGCAUGGUUCAAAAGUGAAUGACGGUCUUGCUGUCACUUAUAGAUGGAUCCGCGCUGCAUUAGCUAGUUGGUAAGGUAACGGCUUACCAAGGCAACGAUGCAUAGCCGACCUGAGAGGGUGAUCGGCCACACUGGAACUGAGAAACGGUCCAGACUCCUACGGGAGGCAGCAGUAGGGAAUCUUCAGAAAUGGGCGAAAGCCUGACGGGGCAACGCGGCGGGAGUGAGGAAGGUCUUCGGUUCGUAAAACUCUGUUAUUAGGGAAGAACAUAUGUGUAAGUAACCGUGCACAUCUGGACGGUACCAAAGCAGAAGGCCACGGCAACCUACGU
rnacentral:rRNA from 1 species